GGCGACAGCCAACCAAUCUACUGAGCGUCACACUUUGUUCCCUAGCAGAGACCAUUGUCUGCGCCUUAUCUCCCUGUCUUCAGGAACCAGGAAUGCCAAGAACCAAUCGGACCGAGCAGAACCAGCAGGAACAGUUCAACUGUCACAAACUGCCAUUGCUGCUGCCACCAACCAUCAGGAGCUGCCACGAACCAUCAUCAGGAUCUCUCACCAACUUGCAUCAGGGCAGUCCUGUUAUCCUUUUAUAAGUGACCACUGUGGACGGAGCCUCGAGCAUGACUUCAGCCAAAUCCAGCUUGCCUGUUGGCGCAUUCCUGCACGAGACCUCCAAGCGUCCAUUUUCGUACUCAUUCUCUCCCAACAAUCGAACGAGAUGCAACUCCCAACCAACACAGGCCUGGCUUAUGACUCCAUGUUCGGGGCACAGGAUGAACACCAGAAAGUGGCCACUUGCUGGAACAAAUGUGCGGAAACAAAAAGCGCCCACAGACGUCAACGGGCAAUCAUCUCCUCCCUGUUCAGCUCAACAUGAAGAAGAGCCGGUUAACAUCCACAGAGCUGCUGAACGGGGUGUCGAUCGCCAAUGGAAAAAGCUUCAAUGCAGAUGUCGAGACUCACUAAAGUCAGGAGGAAGGCCAAUCAAUCUGGUGCUCAAGAUGAGAUAUGAAACGUACUUCACUUUUAAGAUUUGAACGAAACUUGAUACUGCAUACUGCAGCAGAAUGCAUCAUCCCGAACAAAAUCUUGUGUUUUCUAUUUACGGCAGAGUGCAGUACGAGUACGUAAAAUGUUUACCAUUACCCACCUUGCUGUGUUGUAAUAAAUUAAAAAGGUAAAACUCCUGUUUUUGUUUAAUUUACA
rnacentral:lncRNA from 1 species